GAUGAACGCUGGCGGCGUGCCUAAUACAUGCAAGUCGAGCGAACAGACGAGGAGCUUGCUCCUCUGACGUUAGCGGCGGACGGGUGAGUAACACGUGGAUAACCUACCUAUAAGACUGGGAUAACUUCGGGAAACCGGAGCUAAUACCGGAUAAUAUAUUGAACCGCAUGGUUCAAUAGUGAAAGACGGUUUUGCUGUCACUUAUAGAUGGAUCCGCGCCGCAUUAGCUAGUUGGUAAGGUAACGGCUUACCAAGGCGACGAUGCGUAGCCGACCUGAGAGGGUGAUCCGGCACACUGGAACCGAGAACCGGGUCAGAAUCCUAAGGGAGGCAGCAGGAAGGAAUUCUUCGGCAUGGGGGGAAGCCUGAAGGAGCAACGGCGGGUGAGGGAAGGAGGUCUUCGGGUCGUAAAAAUCUGUUAAUAGGGAAGAAAAAAUGGGUAAGUAACUAAGCACGUCUUGAAGGUACCCAAUCAGAAAGGCACGGCUAACUACGGU
rnacentral:rRNA from 1 species